CUGCACAAUGUCAGUAACCAAAAGUUCACUGCCGGCAGGGCAUGUUGCCGUGUGUGUAUUUCCGUUCACCAGUCAUCCGAUGGCUCUCUUUGGCCUGGUGUGUAGACUAGCAAAAGAAGCUCCUCAACUGCAGUUUUCUUUCCUCUGCACUCAAAGAUCAAACUCAAUGGUCUUGUCAAAUGAAACUAAUAUCCUCCCAAUCAAUAUCAAAACCUAUGAUGUGGACGAUGGCUUGCCGGAAAGGGUUGAUCACUUAACAUUAGAUCAUGCACUGGAAGGUAAGUACUUCUUUAAACAGUUCCCGGGGAACUUCAGACGCGGAAUUGAUACAGCGGUGGCAGAGACAGGUGGUGGAAGUGUAACCUUCCUGAUAAUAGAUGCCUUUUUCUCGUUUGACCUUGGCAAGUUGGCCGAGGAGAUAAAUGUGCCAUGGGUAGCGUUUAUGGUACCUGCACCUCAUGACUUCGCUGUCUGGUUCCAACAGGAUCUCAUUCAACAGCUCUACACUAAUGCUCAAACCCACGAUGAUCACCCAGAAGACCAAGUCAUAGAUAUCAUUCCAGGGUUACCUCCAAUACCUUUUAAAGACUUCCACUAUCAAGUGUUCCAGAGAAAUCCUAGUAGUCCAGUUGUCCAACUUAUAUCAUCAAUGGUUCGAAAAUUACCACAAGCAUCUGCGGUUGUCUUGAACUCAUAUGAAGAACUAAAUCCUAGUCUCCUCACAGAUUAUCUCAAGUCCAAGGUUCAAAAUUUACUCUAUAUGCCAUUAGCCCUAUCAAUGACAGCGUCAGGCACAGAUGCUACGGGGUGCUUGCCAUGGCUGGAUCAACAAAAACCUACAUCUGUUGCAUACAUAAGCUUCGGGACAAUGGAAACUCCGGGUCCUGACGAGUUUGAGGCAUUAGCUGAAGCACUUGAAGAGAGUGGUGUUCCAUUUCUCUGGUCUCUCAAGGACAAGUUCAAGGAGUAUCUGCCUGAUGGAUUUAUUGAGAGGACUCGAACCCGCGGAAAGGUGGUUCCAUGGGCAUCCCAGAGGAAAGUACUGGGACAUCCUUCAAUUGGUGUACAUGUGACUCACAGCGGCUACGGUUCUGUUUUAGACAGCAUCCUGUGUGGAGUGCCAAUGAUAUGCAGGUCAGUGUGGGCAGACAAUCAUUUGAAUGCGAAGAUGGUGGAGGAGGUGUGGGGGAUUGGAGUGAGAUUCGAGAAUAGAGUAAUCACUAAGUCUGGAAUGCUCAAGUGUUUGGACAUGAUUUUCCAACAGGACAAAGGGAAGGAGAUCAGACAAGCAGCUACUGCCCUCAAACAAGUUUUGGAAAAGGCAGCUGGACCAGAUGGUGUUGCCGCUAAACAUUUCGAAACUCUGUUGCAGAUUAUCUCUGAGAAGUAAAGCAUAUUAUGGAUCUCUGAGAAGUAAAGCAUAUUAUGG
rnacentral:misc_RNA from 1 species